CUUUCAUCAAGAGAGGUGGAGGGUCUGGCCCUGUGAAGCCCGGCAACCGUCAGUUCGUGUGGCAAUGAACUGAAAUGGUGCCAAUUCCUGCGAAACUAUUGUUUCGGCAGAUGAAAG
rfam:Tumebacillus algifaecis strain THMBR28 chromosome, complete genome.